GAAAUGCGAUAAGUAGUGUGAAUUGCAGAAUUCAGUGAAUCAUCGAAUCUUUGAACGCACAUUGCGCCCUUUGGUAUUCCUUAGGGCAUGCCUGUUCGAGCGUCAUUUAAACCUUCAAGCCCUGCUUGGUGUUGGGUGUUUGUCCCGUCUCCGCGCGUGGACUCGCCCCAAAGUGAUUGACAGCCGGCGUACUGGUCCCGGAGCGCAGCACAUGUCGCGCAAACGAGUGCCUUGGUACGGCGGCGUCCAUAAGCCCCUCUCUCACGCUCUUGACCUCGGAUCAGGUAGGGAUACCCGCUGAACUUAAGC
rnacentral:misc_RNA from 1 species